rnacentral:rRNA from 1 species
CGAACGGGUGAGUAACGCGUGAGGAACCUGCCUCAAAGAGGGGGACAACAGUUGGAAACGACUGCUAAUACCGCAUAAGCCCACGGCUCGGCAUCGAGCAGAGGGAAAAGGAGCAAUCCGCUUUGAGAUGGCCUCGCGUCCGAUUAGCUAGUUGGAGGGGUAACGGCCCACCAAGGCGACGAUGCGUAGCCGGCCUGAGAGGGUGAACGGCCACAUUGGGACUGAGACACGGCCCAA